rnacentral:lncRNA from 1 species
UGGCAAGCCUUCUACCUUCAGAGGGCAGUGGUAUCUUCAGAGGCAUUGAAAAGGGGCUGAGUACCUUCCUUGAAAUCCUUUUUCUUAUCUUCUUUCAAAAUUAUAUGUUUCUCUCUAUAUAUUCUCUUGAUCAAGGCCUAGACCAUAGCCACUGAUAAUAGUAUCCAAUUAUUCCUGCAAGAGAUGAAAACAAGGAGCUUGCUCUCUUAUCAAGCAAAAAAAAAGAAACAAAGUCUAUGUUUCCAUCUUUAGCCAAAUAAUUGGAUAUGGUGUCUACUGUCUACUGCCUUGUCCUAGGCCAAGAAGAAAGACUGUUUAUUCAAAACUUAGAGGAGUAAAUAUUGCCUGAAUGAGGAUAAUUGUUUUACUGCUUUUACAGAGAUUUGGGGAGGAAGAUAGUUAUUACUAUCUUCUCUCCUUGUGAAUGAAGCGAUGAUAGAGGAAUGAAUAGGAAUGAAGAAACAAAAAGGGGACCCCACUUCGAUGACAAGGACACCAGUGGAGUUGCAAGGAGCCUUGACUGUUGCUUAUAGACAUCACACUUACCACAUAAGUACUUUGGGUAUCAACAUGCCCAGUGGCAUUUACUUGAUCUCUUUUACCAAGGCAAAAGCAAAAUCAUGAUUAUGUUUCUAGUUGGCUGGAUGAUUUGUUGGAAAUAACUGUUAAUUGAUUCCAAAGGAAAUUUUUUUUAAAAGGCUUAAUUGAAAGAUUCUAAAUUUAGGUCAUUAUUUCUAAAGCUAUGAGACAUCUACUAGUACUGGACAGUUGUUUAUUGUGGUGGGGUAAUUUUUUCUUCCUGCUUAGCUCUUUUUUUACAGGUCUACUUUAUUUUAAAAUUUUAAA